GGGCAGACAGACAUGGCUAGAUCGACUCGGCUAGUGAACACUUCCUUAGCUGCGGCCCAAAGAAUAAGAAAUUUAAUCUUAAGCGGUGUUCGUGCAAAGGCGGUGUGGAAACUAUAAGUUAAAAACGGAAGGACAACCCCAAAAUCGACUGCAGGAGGUCAGUGCAGAUGAAAUAGGACGCCUAAUCCAAGCUGUUGCCCAUUAUUGUGGGAUUUCACCGACAGGAAGCAAUACCACAACGGGGCAAAUCCGCAGAAUAGUUCCAGUGCUGGAGGAUAUUCCCAAGGGAGUCCCAGUGACAUUUUGCCGUGUCCUCGCAAAGAAACAGAACCACCCGUAUUACGAUCGCCGACGACCUCUCCAUUAGGACUGCGGAUACCACCACCAUCAGCUACUUGGCAGCUUAUGCGGAGCUGGAGGACCCGCUGGCUUCUAUA